UGAAUGGAUAUGCAUGGUCUUGACAGAAUCAUAUCAAAGUUCUAUAUAUACAUAUAUUUUAAUAUUAUUCCGCCUGAAAUGUAUCCAAAUUUGCUUUGCACCGCACGUUUUCAUUCGGACUCUAACUUGAUUAGCUAGGUCAUGUUUUUGAGUCAAAUUUCUUAUUAUGCCCGAGAAGAUUUUAAACACUUCUUAUUUGCCAUCCAUCUUUAUAAUUAUAUAUGGGUUAUAUAUCACUAAUGCACAUAUCUCCCUUCAUGUGUUUCAUAGCGAUAAAUAGACCCUCCUGUCUAAAAUUGACAUUUCCCACAAUCAUUAGUCAACCUGCAGUUCGUGUGAUCUAAAUUGACCUGUCGGGUCCUUGAU